rnacentral:rRNA from 1 species
CGAACGUUGGCGGCGUGCUUAACACAUGCACGUCGAACGGAAAGGCCCCUUUGGGGGUACUCGAGUGGCGAACGGGUGAGUAACACGUGAGUAACCUGCCCUUGACUUCGGGAUAACUUCAGGAAACUGGGGCUAAUACCGGAUAGGAAUCCUUGCUGCAUGGUGGGGGUUGGAAAGCUUCGGCGGUUUUGGAUGGACUCGCGGCUUAUCAGCUUGUUGGUGGGGUAGUGGCUUACCAAGGCUUUGACGGGUAGCCGGCCUGAGAGGGCGACCGGCCACAUUGGGACUGAGAUACGGCCCAGACUCCUACGGGAGGCAGCAGUGGGGAAUAUUGCACAAUGGGCGGAAGCCUGAUGCAGCAACGCCGCGUGCGGGAUGACGGCCUUCGGGUUGUAAACCGCUUUCAGCAGGGGCGAAGCUUGUGGUGACGGUACCUGCAGAAGAAGCACCGGCUAACUACGUG